rnacentral:rRNA from 1 species
UACGGAGGGGGCUAGCGUUGUUCGGAAUUACUGGGCGUAAAGCGCACGUAGGCGGCUUUGUAAGUUAGAGGUGAAAGCCCGGAGCUCAACUCCGGAAUUGCCUUUAAGACUGCAUCGCUAGAAUUGUGGAGAGGUGAGUGGAAUUCCGAGUGUAGAGGUGAAAUUCGUAGAUAUUCGGAAGAACACCAGUGGCGAAGGCGACUUACUGGACACAUAUUGACGCUGAGGUGCGAAAGCGUGGGGAGCAAACAGG